UACGAGGGGGGGCAAGCGUUGUUCGGAAUUAUUGGGCGUAAAGGGCGCGUAGGCGGUGCGGUAAGUCUGAUGUGAAAUCUCCGGGCUCAACUCGGAGUCUGCAUCAGAAACUGCCGUGCUCGAGUGUGGGAGAGGUGAGUGGAAUUCCCGGUGUAGCGGUGAAAUGCGUAGAUAUCGGGAGGAACGCCUGUGGCGAAAGCGGCUCACUGGACCACAACUGACGCUGAGGCGCGAAAGCUAGGGGAGCAAACAGG
rnacentral:rRNA from 1 species